ACGCUCACCGUAGACUCCGGGCCAAUGAAAACGCCGUAACCGUCUACAGUCAGCGUAGACGUAGACUCGACUUCCCCAAAUUGGGGGAAUCUCGACUGCAUAAUUUCUGGUAUUGGAGGACUGCGUUCGCGCUCUCCCCUG